rnacentral:rRNA from 1 species
ACAGCAGCCGCCGCGGUAAUACGAAGGGUGCAAGCGUUAAUCGGAAUUACUGGGCGUAAAGCGUGCGUAGGCGGUGAGUUAAGUCUGCUGUGAAAUCCCCGGGCUCAACCUGGGAAUGGCAGUGGAUACUGGCUCGCUAGAGUGUGUCAGAGGAUGGUGGAAUUCCCGGUGUAGCGGUGAAAUGCGUAGAGAUCGGGAGGAACAUCAGUGGCGAAGGCGGCCAUCUGGGACAACACUGACGCUGAGGCACGAAAGCGUGGGGAGCAAACAGGAUUAGAUACCCGCGUAGUCCCUGUCUCUUAUAA